AGUGAACGCUGGCGGUAGGCCUAACACAUGCAAGUCGAACGGCAGCACAGUAAGAGCUUGCUCUUACGGGUGGCGAGUGGCGGACGGGUGAGGAAUACAUCGGAAUCUACUUUUUCGUGGGGGAUAACGUAGGGAAACUUACGCUAAUACCGCAUACGCCCUACGGGUGAAAGCAGGGGAUCUUCGGACCUUGCGCGAUUGAAUGAGCCGAUGUCGGAUUAGCUAGUUGGCGGGGUAAAGGCCCACCAAGGCGACGAUCCGUAGCUGGUCUGAGAGGAUGAUCAGCCACACUGGAACUGAGACACUGUCCAGACUCCUACGGGAGGCAGCAGUGGGGAAUAUUGGACAAUGGGCGCAAGCCUGAUCCAGCCAUACCGCGUGGGUGAAGAAGGCCUUCGGGUUGUAAAGCCCUUUUGUUGGGAAAGAAAAGCAGCAGGUUAAUACCCCGCUGUUCUGACGGUACCCAAAGAAUAAGCACCGGCUAACUUCGUG
rnacentral:rRNA from 1 species